CAGGCAUUCCAGUCGAGGCGACAGAGGGCCGUCUCGCCUGGGCGCCUCUCUCGCCUUUGAUAACACUGAUUAGUUUUGGUGACAUAAAGGCCCUUAUUUUGUUUUCUUUUACUGUGUAUGCAAAACAAGUUGAUUUGUAAUGAAAAUGAUUGUUCUAGCACUAAAAUUAUUGAAUUUAAUUGUGUAAUUGCGAUUGCAAGUCUUCUAAUCACAGCUAGAAACGUGACUAUUUAAUAGCUUUGCCACUUCACGCAGAACAGCUAUGGUGACAGAUCAUGUUGCUGAUGA
rnacentral:misc_RNA from 1 species